rnacentral:rRNA from 1 species
AACGAACGCUGGCGGCAUGCCUAACACAUGCAAGUCGAACGAGACCUUCGGGUCUAGUGGCGCACGGGUGCGUAACGCGUGGGAACCUGCCCUUAGGUUCGGACUAACUCCCCGAAAGGGGUGCUAAUACCGGAUAAUGUCUUCGGUCCAAAGAUUUAUCGCCUUUGGAUGGUCCCGCGUUGGAUUAGCUAGUUGGUAGGGUAAAAGCCUACCAAGGCGACGAUCCAUAGCUGGUCUGAGAGGAUGAUCAGCCACACUGGGACUGAGACACGGCCCAGACUCCUACGGGAGGCAGCAGUGGGGAAUAUUGGACAAUGGGCGAAAGGCUGAUCCAGCAAUGCCGCGUGAGUGAUGAAGGCAUGAGGGUUGUAAAGCUCUUUUACCCGGGAUGAUAAUGACAGUACCGGGAGAAUAAGCUCCGGCUAACUCCGUG